UUCAAUCCUUUCAGCAGCUUCCCCUCUAUUACAGAGUAGGUCAUCUAUUCCCUGGGGUAGAAAAUCCUUGGUAUUUACUAUUUAGAACACGUUUGAGUUCUGUAAACAGUUAAAAGAGGUGCGAAAGGUACCAGAGGGACAGUCAAACUCAUAGAUCGAAAAUAAACUGACAAUUAAUUAAUACAUUUGACAAAAUCACGAUAAUAUAUGU
rnacentral:lncRNA from 1 species